GACGAACGCUGGCGGCAUGCCUAAUACAUGCAAGUCGAGCGAAUGAUGAAGAAGCUUGCUUCUUCUGAUUUAGCGGCGGGCGGGUGAGUAACACGUGGGCAACCUGCCCUGUAGAUUGGGAUAACUCCGGGAAACCGGGGCUAAUACCGAAUAAUCCAUUCUCUCUCAUGUGAGAAUGUUAAAAGACGGUUUCGGCUGUCACUACAGGAUGGGCCCGCGGCGCAUUAGCUAGUUGGUGAGGUAACGGCUCACCAAGGCGACGAUGCGUAGCCGACCUGAGAGGGUGAUCGGCCACACUGGGACUGAGACACGGCCCAGACUCCUACGGGAGGCAGCAGUAGGGAAUCUUCCACAAUGGACGAAAGUCUGAUGGAGCAAUGCCGCGUGAGU
rnacentral:rRNA from 1 species